CCGCAGCCGCGGUAGACAUAGGGGGCGAGCGUUAUCCGGAAUUAUUGGGUAAAAGGGUGCGUAGGCGGUUAGGAAAGUCUAUAAUUUAAUUUCAAUGCUUAACGCUGUCUUGUUAUAAAAACUACCUUGACUAGAGUUAGAUAGAGGCAAGCGGAAUUCCAUGUGUAGCGGUAAAAUGUGUAAAUAUAUGGAGGAACACCAGAAGCGUAGGCGGCUUGCUGGGUCUUGACUGACGCUGAGGCACGAAAGCGUGGGUAGCAAACAGGAUUAGAUACCCUGGUAGUCCACGCCGUAAACGAUGAGUACUAAGUGUCGGGAUAAAACUCGGUACUGAAGUUAACACAUUAAGUACUCCGCCUGAGUAGUACGUACGCAAGUAUGAAACUUAAAGGAAUUGACGGGACUCCGCACAAGCGGUGGAUCAUGUUGUUUAAUUCGAAGAUACACGAAAAAUCUUACCAGGUCUUGACAUGCUCUGCAAAGUUAUAGAAA
rnacentral:rRNA from 1 species